rnacentral:rRNA from 1 species
AUAUCAAUAAGCGGAGGAAAAGAAACCAACAGGGAUUGCCUCAGUAACGGCGAGUGAAGCGGCAACAGCUCAAAUUUGAAAUCUGGCCCCAGGCCCGAGUUGUAAUUUGCAGAGGAUGCUUUUGGUGAGGUGCCUUCCGAGUUCCCUGGAACGGGACGCCAUAGAGGGUGAGAGCCCCGUCUGGUCGGACACCGAGCCUCUGUAAAGCUCCUUCGACGAGUCGAGUAGUUUGGGAAUGCUGCUCUAAAUGGGAGGUAUAUGUCUUCUAAAGCUAAAUACCGGCCAGAGACCGAUAGCGCACAAGUAGAGUGAUCGAAAGAUGAAAAGCACUUUGAAAAGAGAGUUAAAUAGCACGUGAAAUUGUUGAAAGGGAAGCGUUUAUGACCAGACUUGGCCCGGUUGAUCAUCCAGCGUUCUCGCUGGUGCACUCUGCCGGUCCAGGCCAGCAUCAGUUCGUCGCGGGGGAUAAAGGUUUCGGGAAUGUGGCUCCUCCGGGAGUGUUAUAGCCCGUUGCGUAAUACCCUGCGGUGGACUGAGGUCCGCGCUUCUGCAAGGAUGCUGGCGUAAUGGUCAUCAACGACCCGUCUUGAAACACGGACCAAGGAGUCGUCUUCGUAUGCGAGUGUUCGGGUGUAAAACCCCUACGCGUAAUGAAAGUGAACGCAGGUGAGAGCUUCGGCGCAUCAUCGACCGAUCCUGAUGUUCUCGGAUGGAUUUGAGUAAGAGCAUACGGGGCCGGACCCGAAAGAAGGUGAACUAUGCCUGUAUAGGGUGAAGCCAGAGGAAACUCUGGUGGAGGCUCGCAGCGGUUCUGACGUGCAAAUCGAUCGUCAAAUAUGGGCAUGGGGGCGAAAGACUAAUCGAACCUUCUAGUAGCUGGUUUCCGC